rnacentral:rRNA from 1 species
UGAGUAAUGCUUAGGAAUCUGCCUAUUAGUGGGGGACAACAUUCCGAAAGGGAUGCUAAUACCGCAUACGUCCUACGGGAGAAAGCAGGGGCUCUUUAUGACCUUGCGCUAAUAGAUGAGCCUAAGUCGGAUUAGCUAGUUGGUGGGGUAAAGGCCUACCAAGGCGACGAUCUGUAGCGGGUCUGAGAGGAUGAUCCGCCACACUGGGACUGAGACACGGCCCAGACUCCUACGGGAGGCAGCAGUGGGGAAUAUUGGACAAUGGGGGGAACCCUGAUCCAGCCAUGCCGCGUGUGUGAAGAAGGCCUUUUGGUUGUAAAGCACUUUAAGUGGGGAGGAGGCUUACCUGGUUAAUACCUGGGCUAAGUGGACGUUACCCACAGAAUAAGCACCGGCUAACUCUGUGCCAGCAGCCGCGGUAAUACAGAGGGUGCGAGCGUUAAUCGGAUUUACUGGGCGUAAAGCGCGCGUAGGUGGUUAAUUAAGUCAAAUGUGAAAUCCCCGAGCUUAACUUGGGAAUUGCAUUCGAUACUGGUUAGCUAGAGUAUGGGAGAGGAUGGUAGAAUUCCAGGUGUAGCGGUGAAUGCGUAGAGAUCUGGAGGAAUACCGAUGGCGAAGGCAGCCAUCUGGCCUAAUACUGACACUGAGGUGCGAAAGCAUGGGGAGCAAACAGGAUUAGAUACCCUGGUAGUCCAUGCCGUAAACGAUGUCUACUA